AAAAAAAAAAAAAAAAAAAAGAAGAAAACAUUGAACUUUUAAUUUUUCAUCUUCAUUCCCAGACGUAGGUAUGUUGAUGUUGCAUUACGGCGUGUAUUGUGCUAAAAUCAUCAUUAUAAUGCAUAAUAAAUGAUGAGAUGUGCGUGAGUAAUGUUUAAUAAGUGAUUGUUGUAAGCUGCUUACGAGAUAACUUAAAUUUCUAUAAACGCGUGCAUGUUUGUAAAUAAACAAAACUUUUUGACCUAAAAACAUCCAUUUUGGAUUUUAUGGAUUUUGUCAAAUACGAUGUGGUUUUAUGAUAUAAACACACUGACCACAAAAAACCCCAUAGCAUCGUAUUAUAAACAAUCGUAUGUGAAGACGGGUAAAGAAAUCACUUUGCAUAGAUUUUAAGCGACUAAACAGUGAAGUCUCUGAAUAACGUGCGAAGCGCCACGCAAUACAAUAUGUACAUCUUUGAUAUUGUAGAACUUUUAUUUUCCGUAUCUUCACAUUGAGUCGCCGGCGUUUUCUUAACAAAGUACCGUAAGUCAGCAAAA